rnacentral:rRNA from 1 species
GACGAACGCUGGCGGCGUGCCUAACACAUGCAAGUUGAGCGACGAACCAGGGCUUGCCCUGGGGCAAAGCAGCGAACGGGUGAGUAACACGUGGGUAACCUACCCCGAUAACCGGGACAACCCGAGGAAACUCGGGCUAAUACCGGAUGUGCUCACUGGACUUCGGUUCAGUGCGUAAAGGAAGUUUCGGCCUCCGUAUCGGGAGGGGCCCGCGGCCCAUUAGUUUGUUGGUGAGGUAACGGCUCACCAAGACCGCGAUGGGUAGCUGGUCUGAGAGGACGAUCAGCCACACUGGGACUGAGACACGGCCCAGACUCCUACGGGAGGCAGCAGUGGGGAAUCUUGCGCAAUGCGCGAAAGCGUGACGCAGCAACGCCGCGUGGGGGAAGAAGGCCUUCGGGUUGUAAACCCCUUUCAGGAGGGACGUAGGUUCGGCGGUGAAUAGCCGUCCGGACUGACGGUACCUCCACAAGAAGCCCCGGCUAACUACGUG